rnacentral:rRNA from 1 species
AGAGUUUGUAGUCCUGGCGUCAGGAUGAACGCUGCGGCGUGCCUAAUACAUGCAAGUCGAGCGACACUCGGUGGGAAGCGGCGAACGGGUGAGUAACACGUAGGUAAUCUGCCCAUCAGACGGGGACAACGAUUGGAAACGAUACGCUAAUACCGGAUAGGACGAAAGUUUAAAGAUGCUCCUGGCAUCACUGAUGGAUGAGCCUGCGGCGCAUUAGCUAGUUGGUGGGGUAAAGGCCUACCAAGGCGACGAUGCGUAGCCGACCUGAGAGGGUGAACGGCCACACUGGGACUGAGACACGGCCCAGACUCCUACGGGAGGCAGCAGUAGGGAAUCUUCGGCAAUGGGCGAAAGCCUGACCGAGCAACGCCGCGUGAAUGAAGAAGGCCUUCGGGUUGUAAAAUUCUGUUAUAAGGGAAGAAAGGUGAUAGGAGGAACUGACUAUCAAUUGACGGUACCUUAUGAGAAAGCCACGGCUAACUACGUG